CUAUCUGCAUUCUUUCCUCAGUCACUUUUCCUCAAGUGAAGUUCUGAGAACAACUCUUCAGAAAACUGCCCAUUCACACGAUGAGUAUGUGUUCCUGUUUUGGCAGAGAGGACAGUGUCACAGAUUCUUCUGAGGUGUGCACCCUUCAAUGACUGCUGGAAGGAAAUCCCCUUCUUAUCUCCUUCAGAAUGUUUUGCAAGUCUGCCCUUUCUGUCUCACCAGAAUUUAGAGCAGACACAUACCAUUUUCUAUUAUAUGUUGCAGCCCUUUCUUGAUUUCUGCCUUUCCUGUUGAUCCUGGCCACAAAUGAUAACAGUCCUACAGACUUCCCCAUAAUUCUUGCAGUGCUGACAGUUUCAUCCGUGUACUAAGAUUUCAAAUUCUCUCUGGUCUGUCUGUGGGCUUUUUGUGUUGUUUUUUUUAUUUUCAGACACAUGCCUGACAUCUGUCUCAACAGCCCACCUUACUGUUCUCCCCA
rnacentral:lncRNA from 1 species